rnacentral:lncRNA from 1 species
GGGGAAACAGAGGGCCAGCUGUACCUACAGCAAAGCGGAUACAGCAACACAAACCUCUACCCCUAAGAAGGAAGGUGUCACUUGAUCACUGAGAUGCUAUGUGUUCCUUGAGAUUGGUUUGUAGCCUCAGGCCACAGGGCAAUAGGAUGAGAGGAACCUGGAGGUUUAUUAGAGACAGGAGCAUAGGGGACCACAGUGACCAUUGUGAAUAUUAACUGCAGCACGGCUUUCAGGGAGGAAAUGGAUGUCCUCCUGCCCACAUUCAGAGAGCAGCAUUGCCUUAGGAGCUUACUAACUCCUGCCAAUGCCAGCCAAAUGUCUGGUAGCACUGUUGCCGCUGGAGAGGGACUCAGUAAACACUCUCCUUUUCUGAGUAAUUUUAUGACAAAGACAAACAAUAGGUCAGAUAGAAACCAAGAUGCCAGCUGUUAGAAAUUCCAAAGAUGAAGGAAGCAUUUCAGAAGUGGAAAGAGGAGAAGG